rnacentral:rRNA from 1 species
UACGUAGGGUGCGAGCGUUGUCCGGAAUUAUUGGGCGUAAAGGGCUCGUAGGCGGUUUGUCGCGUCGGGAGUGAAAACCUUGGGCUUAACUCAGGGCUUGCUUUCGAUACGGGCAGACUAGAGGUAUGCAGGGGAGAACGGAAUUCCUGGUGUAGCGGUGAAAUGCGCAGAUAUCAGGAGGAACACCUAUGGCGAAGGCAGCUCGCUGGGACGGUACUGACGCUGAGGCGCGAAAGCGUGGGGAGCAAACAGG